CGGGACGUGGGCCAGCGGCUAGGCCUCCUGCCUUGGGAGCAGGCGAUCGAGGGUUCGAGUCCCUCCGUCCCGAC
rnacentral:tRNA from 1 species